AUCCAGCUGACGGGUCCCAAAUAGGACGAAACUCGUGUCCUGCAU
rnacentral:hammerhead_ribozyme from 1 species